AUCUAGUAGGAGACCCAAGCGUUUUAUAUACUCACUACUCAACGACUUCCACAAAUCGAAUUCAUAGACCUAACCCUCAAUUCUCUCUACUUUCAUCAAUUUCACCCUUUAAAAACCUAAUCUAACCCUUUCUCUUUAACCGCCUCCUUCACACCUCCUCUAAUUAUUCAUUUUUGUCUUCUCUAAUUCUCCUUCUCUUAUCUUUCUACUUCAAUUUUGUAUUUGAAAUUUACGGGUGUAUGUUGUAUAUUUACCUGUAUUAAUUUUCUAUGGAGUCUUAUGUUUAAUUGAUUGAAGAUCUGAAUCACUUAGUUUGAAUCUUGGUAAAUACAUAGCAUAUUCAUGAUUCGGAUGGUUAUGUGUUUAUACUGAACAAGAUUUUGUUUUUCAAUUCGGUUUGUCUAUUUUAUAAAUGAUGAGUUACUUUUAUUGGUAUUGCUUUAAAGCUCCAUCUAAUUCAUCUUAGAUUCCCCAUAGCCGGAUGAUCGAGGCCUUGUUUUCUCUGUCAAAUAAUCAGAAGUGAUAAAGAGCUGAAGAUUCAAGACUUGGAUUUGAGAUAAGAGAGAAGUGAUCAUCGUCUUUUUUUUUUCUUUCUGGGUUUUCAUCAUGUAAUUGAGUUUUGAUGUUAUAUGUAGUUGCUAAUUGUAAGAUCUUGUAGUUCGUUUUUUUUGUAAACAAAGUUAUAGUUGGAUGCAAUUGGAAUAUAAUGAUAUGUUUGUUGUUACCUUACUUUGGAUAUUAUUUUGACAAUUUUAUAAUUCUUACAACAUUAUUUCAAUAAACAAAUGGUCAAAAUGGGGAUUGGCGUAAUAAUUUUGCAAAAUAAUGGAGAUUUUUUUUUCCCGCAAGGGAAUUAUUGUAAUUUUUUUUUUUUUUUUUUUUAAAAAGAGCAGGAAAUAGAGAAUGGUUGUCUAUAACAGGCGCUUUGUAUACUGAUUGAAACGGGGUAGCAUACAAAGCGCC